rnacentral:tRNA from 1 species
GCCUUCGUGGCUUAAUGGAUAAGGCGUCGGCCUCCUCAGCCGAAGACUGCGGGUUCGAGUCCCGUCGGAGGUA